CAUUUUUAGACAUAAUUAAAAACACCAUCUGCUCAAUGAACCUUAAAUAGCUGCAGCUCAUGCUGUACUAAGGUAGCAUAAUCACUUGCCUUAUAAUUAAAGGAUCGUAUAAAAGACAUCACGCAUUUUAAACUCUAUCAAAAAUUCACAUUAAAAUUUUAAUAAAAGUAAAAAUACUCUUAAACAUAAAAAAGACGACAAGACCCUGAGAACUAAACUAAAGUUUUACUGGGGCGGUUAAACAAAAAAAUCUUACUUAUCAUACCCAAAAUUAAUAAGUUACCUCAGGGAUAACAGCAUAAUUUAUUUUUAAAGUUCUUAUUUAUAAACAAGAUUAUGACCUCGAUGUUGAAUUAAAAAAUCUAUAAUUACGUAAUAGUAAUAAAAGACAGUCUGUUCGACUAUUAAAGUUUUACA
rnacentral:rRNA from 1 species